GUAAUGGUUGCUGAGUAACGUAUAACAGCGUAAAACACCAUCGCCGGACACGAUCGAAGAGG
rnacentral:sRNA from 12 species